rnacentral:rRNA from 1 species
UUUGAUCAUGGCCCAGAUUGGGAACGCUGGCGGGAUGCUUCUGCACACGUGUCGAACGGCAGCACGGACUUCGGUCUGGUGGCAGUAUGAAUCGGUGGAGUAAUGUAUCGGAACGCCUUAUGGGGAUAACUACGCGAAAGCGUAGCCAUUACCGCAUAACGCCCCUUCGGGGAAAGCGGGGACCUUCGGCCCGCACUAUUAGAGUGGCCGCCGAUAUCGGAUUAGCGAAGGUGUAACGGCUCACCAAGGCGACGAUCCGGCUGGUUUGAGAGGACGACCAGCCACAUCAGACUGAGACACGGCCCACCCGCCGGAGGCAGCAGUGGGAAUUUUGGACAAUGGGGAAACCCCGAUCCAGCCAUCCCGCGGUGCGUGGGCCUCUGGUUGUAAAGCACUUUGGCAGGAAAGAAACGGCACUGGGAUAAUACCCGUGCAACUGACGGUACUCGCAGAAUAAGUAAUUUAGCUAACUACGUGCCAGCAGCCGCGGUAAUACGUAGGGUGCAAGCGUUAAUCGGAAUUACUGGGCGUAAAGCGUAUAUAGCGGCUCAAUAAGUGUUGCAGAUGUGAAAUCCCAGAGCUUAACUUUCUUUGAACUGCAUUUUUAACUACUGAGCUAGAGGUCGAGGGAGGUGAAUUCAGUAGCAGUAAAAUGCGUAGAUAUGCGGAGGAACACCGAUGGCGAAGUGCGCCUCCGAUAACACUGACGCUCAUGCACGAAAGCGCGUGGGGAGCAAACAGGAUUAGAUACCCUGUAGUCCACGCCCUGGAAACGAUGUCAAUUCCAGAAGCUGUUGGGGCCUUCGGCUCGGUAGCGCAGCUAACGCGUGAAGUUGACCGCCUGGGGAGUACGGUCGGAUUAAAACCUCAAAGGAAUUGACGGGAUCCGCACAAGCGGUGGAUGAUGUGGAUUAAUUCGAUGCAACGCGAAAAACCCUACCUACCUGGAUAUGUCUGGAAUCCCGAAGAGAUUUGGGAGUGCUCGCAAGAGAACCGGAACAAGAAGGUUGUGAUGGCUGUCGUCAGCUCGUGUCGUGAGAUGUUAAGAAGUCCGCAACGAGCGCAACCUCGUCAUUAGUUGCUACGAAAGGGCACUCUAAUGAGACUGCCGGUGACAAAACCGAGGAAGGUGGGGAUGACGUCAAGUCCUCAUGGCCCUUAUGGGUAGGGCUUCACACGUCAUACAAUGGUCGGGACAGAGGGUCGCCAACCCGCGAGGGGGAGCCAAUCCCAGAAACCCGAUCGUCCGGAUCGUGGUCGUAACUCGACUGCGUGAAGUCGGAAUCGCUAGUAAUCGUGGAUCACAUGUUCGUGUGAAUACGUCUCGGUCUUGUACACACUGCCCGUCAUGACCAAGGGGAGUGGGUUUUACCAGAAGUGAAGCUAGCCUAACCGUAAGGAGGGCGAUUACCACGGUAGGAUUCAUGACUGGGGUGAAGUCGUAACAAAGGCAG